rnacentral:rRNA from 1 species
AUACGUAGGGGCAAGCGUUACUCGGAAUUACUGGGCGUAAAGGGUGUGCAGGUGGCUGGAUAAGUCAAAGAUGAAAUCCCGAGGCUCAACUUCGGAAUUGUUUUUGAUACUGUCCGGCUUGAGGUUAGUUGAGGAGAGCGGAAUUCCCGGUGGAGCGGUGAAAUGCGUAGAUAUCGGGAGGAACACCUGAGGCGUAGGCGGUUCUCUAUACUAAUCCUGACACUGAGACACGAAAGCUAGGGGAGCAAACGGGAUUAGAUACCCCGGUAGUCCUAGCCGUAAACGAUGGACGCUAGAUGUUCUUGCGUUUAUGCAAGAGUGUCGUAGCCAACGCGUUAAGCGUCCCGCCUGGGGAGUACGGUCGCAAGAUUGAA